GACGAACGCUGGCGGCGUGCUUAACACAUGCCAGUCGAACGGAAAGGCCCUGCUUUUGUGGGGUGCUCGAGUGGCGAAAGGGUGAGUAACAUGUGAGUAUGCUGCCCUUGACUUUGGGAUAACUUCAGGAAACUGGGGCUAAUACCGGAUAGGAGCUCCUGCUGCAUGGUGGGGGUUGGAAAGUUUGGGCGGUUGGGGAUGGACUCGCGGCUUAUCAGCUUGUUGGUGGGGUAGUGGCUUACCAAGGCUUUGACGGGUAGCCGGCUUGAGAGGGUGACCGGCCACAUUGGGACUGAGAUACGGCCCAGACUCCAACGGGAGGCAGCAGUGGGGAAUAUUGCACAAUGGGCGGAAGCCUGAUGCAGCAACGCCGCGUGCGGGAUGACGGCCUUCGGGUUGUAAACCGCUUUCGCCUGUGACGAAGCGUGAGUGACGGUAAUGGGUAAAGAAGCACCGGCUAACUACGUG
rnacentral:rRNA from 1 species